rnacentral:tRNA from 1 species
GAGGUCGUAGCGCAGAGGUCGACGCGCCCGGGCUGAUCGGGAAGGACGCCGGUUCGAUUCCGGCCGGCCUCGCC